CUCGUCUAAAUGGAGUGUUUUCGUGCACAAUGUCUGCUGUCACUUGGGUGUGGACUGAUGGAUGUUUAUAUAUUCUCGUUUAGAGGAAGAAUUAAUUAUAAUCCUCACGCAGGUUAAAAAAAAAAAGGGGCCGCAAAUGAGCGUUUAUUAGUGUCUUUGUCGCCAAGUUGAAUGUCAAACUUCUCGGUUUAUGGACACAACCUUCUACUAUCCAGCUGUCAACUGAAUCAUCACCUGCAGGAGAGCUUGUGUCAGCAGCUCCUUCGGCUGAAUGAUAUCUGCACUCGGUCCUCCUGCUUCUGUCGGAGGAGAGCAAGACGAUGAGGGCGAUGGUGACUUGGAGCAGCAGGACGGAAUGCUGACCUCGGUGCUUCUUCUCACUCGCCUCCUCGCAAAGUUUUUGGCAUUAACACCAGGCUGCUGUUGUUUUACGG